rnacentral:rRNA from 1 species
CCCUUAGAUGUUCUGGGCCGCACGCGCGCUACACUGAUACAUGCAACGAGUUUAUAACCUUGAUCUGACGGUCUGGGUAAUCUUCAAACUGUAUCGUGUUAGGGAUCGAUUCUUGCAAUUUUUAAUCGUAAACGAGGAGUUCCUAGUAAACGCAAGUCAUCAGCUUGCAUUGAUUACGUCCCUGCCCUUUGUACACACCGCCCGUCGACUCUACCGAUUGAAUGGUUCGGUGAAAACUUUGGACUGUGGCAUUGUCCUUCAUUGGACUUCGCCGUAGGAAAUUGUUUAAACCUCAUCAUUUAGAGGAAGAAUAAGUCGUAACA